rnacentral:rRNA from 1 species
GAAAAUUACAAGCAUAAGCUCGAAACUCAAAGGACUUGGCGGCGCUUUAGACCCACCUAGAGGAGCCUGUCCUAUAACCGAUAACCCCCGUUAAACCUUACCUUCUUUUGCCUCCAGCCUAUAUACCGCCGUCGUCAGCUUACCCUUUGAAGGACUCAUAGUGAGCAAGAUCGGUCAAGCCCCAGACGUCAGGUCGAGGUGUAGCAUAUAAGAAGCGAAGAGAUGGGCUACAUUUCCUACACUAGGGAUUACGAACAAUGUUUUGAAACAAACAUAUUGAAGCAGGAUUUAGCAGUAAGUAAAAAAUAGAGAGUUUU